AUGAACGCUGGCGGCGUGCCUAAUACAUGCAAGUCGAGCGAACAGAUGAGGAGCUUGCUCCUCUGACGUUAGCGGCGGACGGGUGAGUAACACGUGGAUAACCUACCUAUAAGACUGGGAUAACUUCGGGAAACCGGAGCUAAUACCGGAUAAUAUAUUGAACCGCAUGGUUCAAUAGUGAAAGUCGGUUUUGCUGUCACUUAUAGAUGGAUCCGCGCCGCAUUAGCUAGUUGGUAAGGUAACGGCUUACCAAGGCAACGAUGCGUAGCCGACCUGAGAGGGUGAUCGGCCACACUGGAACUGAGACACGGUCCAGACUCCUACGGGAGGCAGCAGUAGGGAAUCUUCCGCAAUGGGCGAAAGCCUGACGGAGCAACGCCGCGUGAGUGAUGAAGGUCUUCGGAUCGUAAAACUCUGUUAUUAGGGAAGAACAAAUGUGUAAGUAACUAUGCACGUCUUGACGGUACCUAAUCAGAAAGCCACGGCUAACUACGUG
rnacentral:rRNA from 1 species